ACGAACGCUGGCGGCGUGCUUAACACAUGCAAGUCGAGCGAGGCCUUUCCUUCGGGAGAGUGUCCUAGCGGCGAACGGGUGAGUAACACGUGGGCAACCUGCCCUCAGCUCUGGGAUAACUCCAAGAAAUUGGGGCUAAUACCGGAUAUGACCGCUGACCGCAUGGUCUGGUGGUGGAAAGAUUUAUCGGCUGGGGAUGGGCCCGCGGCCUAUCAGCUUGUUGGUGGGGUAGUGGCCUACCAAGGCGACGACGGGUAGCCGGCCUGAGAGGGUGACCGGCCACACUGGGACUGAGACACGGCCCAGACUCCUACGGGAGGCAGCAGUGGGGAAUAUUGCGCAAUGGGCGAAAGCCUGACGCAGCGACGCCGCGUGGGGGAUGACGGCCUUCGGGUUGUAAACCUCUUUCAGCAGGGACGAAGCGAAAGUGACGGUACCUGCAGAAGAAGCACCGGCCAACUACGUGCCAGCAGCCGCGGUAAUACGUAGGGUGCAAGCGUUGUCCGGAAUUAUUGGGCGUAAAGAGCUCGUAGGCGGUUUGUUGCGUCGGCUGUGAAAUCCCGAGGCUCAACCUCGGGUCUGCAGUCGAUACGAGCAAACUAGAGUGUUGCAGGGGAGACUGGAAUUCCUGGUGUAGCGGUGAAAUGCGCAGAUAUCAGGAGGAACACCGGUGGCGAAGGCGGGUCUCUGGGCAACAACUGACGCUGAGGAGCGAAAGCGUGGGGAGCGA
rnacentral:rRNA from 1 species